AGUGAACGCUGGCGGUAGGCCUAACACAUGCAAGUCGAACGGCAGCACAGUAAGAGCUUGCUCUUACGGGUGGCGAGUGGCGGACGGGUGAGGAAUACAUCGGAAUCUACUUUUUCGUGGGGGAUAACGUAGGGAAACUUACGCUAAUACCGCAUACGACCUACGGGUGAAAGCAGGGGAUCUUCGGACCUUGCGCGAUUGAAUGAGCCGAUGUCGGAUUAGCUAGUUGGCGGGGUAAAGGCCCACCAAGGCGACGAUCCGUAGCUGGUCUGAGAGGAUGAUCAGCCAUACUGGAACUGAGACACGGUCCAGACUCCUACGGGAGGCAGCAGUGGGGAAUAUUGGACAAUGGGCGCAAGCCUGAUCCGGCCAUACCGCGUGGGUGAAGAAGGCCUUCGGGUUGUAAAGCCCUUUUGUUGGGAAAGAAAAGCAGCAGGUUAAUACCCCGCUGUUCUGACGGUACCCAAAGAAUAAGCACCGGCUAACUUCGUG
rnacentral:rRNA from 1 species